UGCGGGGUGGAGCAGUCUGGUAGCUCGUCGGGCUCAUAACCCGAAGGUCAUAGGUUCAAAUCCUGUCCCCGCGACCA
rnacentral:tRNA from 1 species